AUUGAACGCUGGCGGCGUGCCUUACACAUGCAAGUCGAACGGUAACAGGUCUUCGGACGCUGACGAGUGGCGAACGGGUGAGUAAUACAUCGGAACGUGCCCAGUCGUGGGGGAUAACUACUCGAAAGAGUAGCUAAUACCGCGUACGAUCUGAGGAUGAAAGCGGGGGACCUUCGGGCCUCGCGCGAUUGGAGCAGCCGAGAUCAGAUUAGGUAGUUGGUGGGGUAAAGGCCCACCAAGCCAACGAUCUGUAGCUGGUCUGAGAGGACGACCAGCCACACUGGAACUGAGACACGGUCCAGACUCCUACGGGAGGCAGCAGUGGGGAAUUUUGGACAAUGGGCGAAAGCCUGAUCCAGCCAUUCCGCGUGCAGGAUGAAGGCCCUCGGGUUGUAAACUGCUUUUGUACAGAACGAAAAGGUUUCUACUAAUACUAGGAGCUCAUGACGGUACUGUAAGAAUAAGCACCGGCUAACUACGUGCCAGCCGCCGCAGUAA
rnacentral:rRNA from 1 species